rnacentral:tRNA from 1 species
GUCUUUGUAGUAUAAUAUAAAUAUACUGAUCUUGUAAUUCAGAGAAGGGGAGUAAUAUUCACCUCCUAAGACAUU